CGGCGGUGACAUUGUGCAAAGCC
rnacentral:miRNA from 10 species